CCCCGUCGUCUCCUUCGACAUUUCUGCCGGAAAUCCUCGCCCCAAACGAGAAAUGGAAACCAAGGCAAUUGCUUCACCCAAAUACCAAAUCAAAGCUACGGAUGCUACAACUUUGAGCACAAUUCAUGCAAUUUCUUUCAUUUCCACAUGUUCAAGCAACUAAGAACAGGAAUCGAAGCCCUCUAUAACAAACAGUUCGAGCCAGAUUUUGGGUCUUCAGUGGAAGCUUAUAGAAGAUCCUACUCUAUCAGAUAUAUUGACAGGAAAUUUAGCUCAAAAAACGCACAAGGAUUCCAAAACUCCAAUCGGAAAAUAAGCAAUGGAAGAAAGCUAAGUACAUUAUUGCACAAUUUCAUAAUUAUUUAGCUAAUUAAUGAAAUCUGUGCCUUUACAAAUUAGUCUGUAAUAUUUAGUUUUUGGGCAUCUACUAAUUUAAAUGUCAUGGAUGUAUAUUUCUUUGCCUGAGAAUCUAUUUGACUGUAUUAAUAAACCUAGAUAUUGAAUGGUAAAAAUUUUUUCCAACUAUCUGAAAAAAAAUAAAAAAAAUUUUAACCGAAGAACAAUUUGGACACUACUAAAUCAGUGUAUAUUUAGCAUUACAUGUAACAAAUUGUAUUCUCUAAUGUGUGCAAAAGAUGGCAGUCAGAACAUUAUUAGCCAUAUGAUUUUUUUAGUGUUCUGACCAGUAGUAUGAUCUAGAAAUGGAGGUACUAAUUUCUGGGUUCUUUUAAAUGGUAUCUUAUUGAUUGCAUUCUAGGUAUUCUUUAUUGUCUUGAGGUGUUAAAAAAGGAGAAAUGAUAUUAGAAGAUUGAACUAAAAAAACAAUUAUUGGAGACAUUAGAAAUACCUAAGCAAUAUGUCAAAGAACAUAAAUACUACAGAAACAGUUGAUGGUAAACUAACCUUUAUCUGAAUAGCCAUGCUUUCGUUUGCAACCUAUGAUAACUGAUUUUUCUAACUUCAUCCUACUUUGUUGAAGGUGAUGGUUGCUGGAAGUUGAGGUUUUAUAUGAAUUGAGAGAGUGAUUUGGAUGUAUGAGUGUGAGUUUGACACAAUUACAUGUAAAGAUCAUGACUUUAACAGUCAUGUACCUCUUUUAUAAAGCCAAAGUAGAACCUAUAACUAUCAUUACCAAUGUCUAUGUAGUACCUAGGUAGCUGCAACUUUUGGUAUUUGGAAUGCAAUAAAAUGAUGACUUUCAUAUUUGUUUUGAAAUAUGAUUCUAUUGUGCUAAUUUUAUAUGAAAUUUCUUAUGGCAAAUUUGAGUCUUGGCUAUGUGAGCAUCACUGUAUUUCUCUUGUACAAUUUGUUUUUUCUUUUUUAGAUUAAUAUUUGAAAAUUAAAUUCAAGAAUUAAUUAAAACAUUGGCAUUUGUCAGUCCAUAAGAGUUUUUUUUUUUUUUUUUUUUUUUUAAAUUUUAGUGUUAUCAUGUUAACAUUAGACAAAUUCGUACAUUUAAUAAAAUGAAAUAGGGAAUAAAGCUAAUUGAAUUUUGUAUUGGAAUUCCUGUUCAAUUUUUUCUAAGUCAGUUUUACAUAUUGUUGCUUUCUUUUUUAAAUGUGUUUCCACUAUAUCACGCAAUAUUUAUGUGAAUUUGUAUUCUUAUAGGUUUAAAGAAUAGUCCCCAAAAACCUAUGUUUGCAGUAUGCUCAUUAGUUAUAAACAGAUUGAAAUGUAUAUAAAUAUCACCAAGUGUCAAAGUUGUAUGACUUAUCUUUUUGCUUAUUUAAAUAUAAAAAAUAAACCAAUUUUUUUAAAUCUAUUAUUUGGUUUUGAAAACAUAUUACUAUACAAAUAUUAUCAUUUAUAUAUUUGUAUGCAGUUUUCCAGAUUAUGUAAUUUAAAAAAAAUGCACAAUAUUUUCCCAAUUUUAGCAAGAAUUUUUUUCAAUUUCAUUAUGCACUUUAAUCCAUAAAGAAUCAUGUUUAGUGAUUUUAAGACCAUAACAUUAAAUAUCAAACCAGUUUGCACUUUGCUUUUGUGGUGCUAGUUAUUCUAAAGGAUGGUGAUACUGUUGCCAAGUAUUGUGGUCAUUUGGUAUGUGAUGGUGAAAGGUUUGUUAGAUCACCAGUAUUGUGUGACAGGCAAUGUUGUAAUCAUAAUGAUAACGUACUAUGUAAUUAUUUAAUUGUAGAUUUCAUAUAUUUUUAAGAUUCAAUAUGAAUGGUAUGUAGAAAAAUUUUCAUAACUACACAGGAAAUAGUUUGAAAAAAAUCACAAAUUACUUUACUCCUUAUUCCACAUUCAAAUUUGUGGUCAUUUAUGGGCUAUAUUUUAAAGCCGAAAUACAAUAUUUUGGCCUUACAUUUAUGUUGAAAGAACAUAACUGUCUUUACCAUUUGAGGCUUCUACAGUGCUCAUAAUAGUUCUCAUACAGUGGUAGAAAUAAUUCAUUUUUUUUUCUAAACCUUAGCUUGAUCUGUUGUACCAAGGAAUUAAACUUUUUUUUUUCCUAUAGGGCAGUGUCAACAGAAGACAUCUACACAGCAAAGAAAUAGAUGCUACAAUGAGGAGCCAAUAUGGAAAAGAGAGAAAUCAAAAUAGCUUAACAGAGAGGGUCACACCAUUUGCAGAUUUACUCACGCCAUUUGUAGAAGAGCAUGUUGCUGCCAAUGAGGAUGCAAAAUAGGGAUACUUCUUCAGCAUCCUCUGGGUCAAAGAAGCAAAGAUGACACUUUGGAGAAGUGAUUGCAAUUCUCCAUUUUAAUUGCGGUAAUGAGUUAACCCUUCAAAUCUCAUGGAGUUCUGAGGAUCCUGGUCGAAGAUUUUGGAAUUGUGUUGGUAUCAAUGGCAUGCAGUUGCACUCAUGUGGAUUUUUUGAUUGGUUUGAUCCUCCAAUGUGUUCACGGUCGAAGAAGAUCAUUCAUGGAUUGUUGAAGAGGAUGAACUGAAAUGAGGAAAAAAUUGAGAGGCUCAAAGCAUUAUUACGAAGUGGCAAUGGUCCAAAAAAAUAUUGUAAUGGGAAAUGGCUCAAAGCAUAGUUCUUGGUAGCCAUAGGAGUAGUAAUGGUUAAUGUCAUGUCAAAGAAAUAUGGAAAACCUAGUGAUCUUUAUAGGUUGCCAUGAGAUUAUGUAAUUGCUCACUAUUUUGUAUUUAUAAUGCUCACUAUAUAAUGUAACUUCCAUUCCAUAUUUAUGGUUUCAAUGCUCAUUCUCUAUUUUA